rnacentral:rRNA from 1 species
AUUGAACGCUGGCGGCAGGCCUAACACAUGCAAGUCGAACGAGUGGUGUACGGGAGAGUAAUGUCUGGGAAACUGCCUGAUGGAGGGGGAUACCUACUGGAAACGGUAGCUAAUACCGCCUACCAUCAGCUGUGCCCAGAUUGGUGUAGCUUGUUGGUGGGGUAACGGCUCACCAAGGCGACGAUCCCUAGCUGGUCUGAGAGGAUGACCAGCCACACUGGAACUGAGACACGGUCCAGACUCCUACGGGAGGCAGCAGUGGGGAAUAUUGCACAAUGGGCGCAAGCCUGAUGCAGCCAUGCCGCGUGUAUGAAUAAGGCCUUCGGGUUGUAAAGGACUUUCAGCGGGGAGGCGUUACCCGCAGAAGAAGCACCGGCUAACUCCGUGCCAGCCGCCGCGGUAAUAC